rnacentral:tRNA from 2 species
GCCUCUCUCGUAUAGCUUGGAUAGUACAGAGCCCCGCGAAGGCUCUGACCUGGGUUCGAAUCCCAGGAGAGGCA